rnacentral:rRNA from 1 species
AUUGAACGCUGGCGGCAGGCCUAACACAUGCAAGUCGAGCGGAUGAGGAAAGCUUGCUUUUCGAUUUAGCGGCGGACGGGUGAGUAAUGCCUAGGAAUCUGCCUAUUAGUGGGGGAUAACGUUCCGAAAGGAACGCUAAUACCACAUACGUCCUACGGGAGAAAGUGGGGGAUCUUCGGACCUCACGCUAAUAGAUGAGCCUAGGUCGGAUUAGCUAGUUGGUGGGGUAACGGCUCACCAAGGCGACGAUCCGUAGCUGGUCUGAGAGGAUGAUCAGCCACACUGGAACUGAGACACGGUCCAGACUCCUACGGGAGGCAGCAGUGGGGAAUAUUGGACAAUGGGCGAAAGCCUGAUCCAGCCAUGCCGCGUGUGUGAAGAAGGUCUUCGGAUUGUAAAGCACUUUAAGUUGGGAGGAAGGGUUGUAAGCUAAUAUCUUGCAGCUUUGACGUUACCAACAGAAUAAGCACCGGCUAACUCUGUGCCAGCAGCCGCAGUAACAC